rnacentral:rRNA from 1 species
UACGUAGGGUGCAAGCGUUAAUCGGAAUUACUGGGCGUAAAGCGUGCGCAGGCGGUGAUGUAAGACAGAUGUGAAAUCCCCGGGCUCAACCUGGGAACUGCAUUUGUGACUGCAUCGCUGGAGUGCGGCAGAGGGGGGUGGAAUUCCACGUGUAGCAGUGAAAUGCGUAGAGAUGUGGAGGAACACCGAUGGCGAAGGCAGCCCCCUGGGAUGAGACUGACGCUCAUGUACGAAAGCGUGGGGAGCAAACAGG